rnacentral:rRNA from 1 species
CACUCCUACGGGAGGCAGCAGUGGGGAAUAUUGGACAAUGGGCGCAAGCCUGAUCCAGCCAUGCCGCGUGAGUGAUGAAGGCCCUAGGGUUGUAAAGCUCUUUCACCGGUGAAGAUAAUGACGGUAACCGGAGAAGAAGCCCCGGCUAACUUCGUGCCAGCAGCCGCGGUAAUACGAAGGGGGCUAGCGUUGUUCGGAUUUACUGGGCGUAAAGCGCACGUAGGCGGACUAUUAAGUCAGGGGUGAAAUCCCGGGGCUCAACCCCGGAACUGCCUUUGAUACUGGUAGUCUUGAGUUCGAGAGAGGUGAGUUGAAUUCCGAGUGUAGAGGUGAAAUUCGUAGAUAUUCGGAGGAACACCAGUGGCGAAGGCGGCUCACUGGCUCGAUACUGACGCUGAGGUGCGAAAGCGUGGGGAGCAAACAGGAUUAGAUACCCGAGUAGUCCAAUGA